rnacentral:rRNA from 1 species
UACGUAGGUGGCAAGCGUUGUCCGGAUUUAUUGGGCGUAAGGGAGCGCAGGCGGUGACUUAAGUCUGAUGUGAAAGCCCACGGCUCAACCGUGGAAGGUCAUUGGAAACUGGGUCACUUGAAUACAGAAGAGGAAAGUGGAAUUCCAUGUGUAGCGGUGAAAUGCGUAGAUAUAUGGAGGAACACCAGUGGCGAAGGCGGCUUCCUGGUCUGUAACUGACACUGAGGCGCGAAAGCGUGGGGAGCAAACAGGAUUAGAUACCCU